GCAAGCUAGACAGUGUGAUAACAUCGGAAAACAAAAAGAGGGCGUGGGCCAAAGUUGCCCUCACUGUAUCUGCACUGGCGGAUAUUGGAAUCGUUCGCGAUGUCAACGCUGUAAAAAAAAAGUGGGCGGACAUCAAAUCUAUUGUAAAAAAGAAGGGAACGGAGAGGGCAAGAGAGUUGAAAAAAACUGGAGGAGCGAAGACCACAAUCCAGCUGGACCCACUGGAGGAGAAAUUGUUGGGGGCGAUUGCCGAAACGUUAGUUGAAGGAGUAGAUGGAGGAGUGGGCACCGGAGAACCGGGAGAAGACGAUAGCCUGCAAGCAGGAGAAAUUGUUGGGGGCGAUUGCCGAAACGUUAGUUGAAGGAGUAGAUGGAGGAGUGGACACCGGAGAACCGGGAGAAGACGAAAGCCUGCAAGCAGGAGAUUCUUUGGUCGUAAUAGCAGUCAACCAGGAUGCAGAACAAUCCCACGCAUUCAAUGCAGCUGAACCAACACAAGCCCUCACAAAUCAUCAAAACCUGUUACAGAGUCCCGGGGAUGACCUGACAUUAUCACAGCUAAUCUCGGAAACCUUUCAUACACCUGCCACAUCCAGAAGCAACACAGAGGACAUGGUCUCCCUUCAGCGUCAGCUUUUGGAGGAAGUUAAAAUGCUGAGGCAUACUCAGGAGCAACUUCUGCAGGUGGAGAGGGAAAAGCUGCUCGUCGAGAGGGAGAAGCUUCGCCUUGCCCAAGCCAAGUUUGAUUUAAAAAAAAAAGAGUGUUGAACCUAGAAUAAAAUAGCAAUCACUGAGAGGUUUUCA
ensembl:lncRNA